CAUGGGUUAUCUACAUCACAUUCUACAAUGCCCGUGUUUUGGGCUUCCUGCUCACCAAAAUCCUCAACCGUUUUGUGGGGAAAGCAUAUCUCAAAAUUGGUGGAUGGCCUACAAGAAUGAGGAUGGACCGCAAACGGCAGUUGGAAAACGGCUUUGUCUUGUACUUUGCAUGUAACAGAAUUAUGUUUCAUCGUAUAUACAUAUUACACUCCGAAGCUAUCACGUCUGCACAUUUUGUGUAAGUCUUACCUUAUGCAUUUUCUGACGCAAUUUACUUGUAAACAUUAAUUUAGUUCAAUAAGACACUUGCGCAUGGCAGAUGGCUUAGAGGAAUGAUUACAACGAAGGUGCAAUGGACACAGCAAGGCGACACGGGACAACCACGUAGGCGCACUAACAACUGAGUGUUUUAUUUCUUGACACAGGACUAAAUAGUUGGUGCCAAGGAUCAAAACAACAAGAAAAAACAGUGCUCUUAUCUGCAUCGCACAAUGAAAACACGAUACAAAACAGCUUCUAAGUGCCGCUCCCAAGAUACGCCAGUUCCUUUUUCGAUAGAGAAACUGAGGGUUCACUGAUGCAAGCAUCACCACGUUUCUUGAUCACAAGCGCUUCCAAUAUCUCCUGCUUGUCACUGCGGCGACGAGGAGACUAUAGAACACGUACUUUGCCACUGUCCUCGAUACCGCGCGCACUGGCUGUCACUAGCGACCACAUUGGCACGCCUUGGCGACAGGUGACUUUCAGAACAGUCAAUCUCGAAAUGCCGACAUAAACUGUCGUACUGAAAGUCGGUUAAGGCUUUUUGACCUUUUUACGUGGCAGUGGCCUAUUAGAAAGACUGUAAUGAUCCCAUUCCAUCCCUUCUCAUUCUUUGUUUCACGCUUUUAUUUUUGUCACGCUCUUCUUUCUGACUUUGCUUCCCCUUUCCCUUCUCCUAGUGCAGGGUAGCAAACCAGAGGUUAACUCUGGUUAACCUCCCUACCUUUCUCUCAUUUGCAUCUCUCUCUCUGCUCUGUUCAAAACACAGGUUCUAUUAAAAUCAGGAAUACGCUUGUGAGCCUUACAAUGAGCACCAAUGUGAUCGGAGAGCUGGUUUUCCAUCUUAUAUCGAUGCUCAUACAAUCUGUCAUUUAGGCAUCUGCCCGUUUGGCCGACAUAUGAUGAACUACACGACAAAGGAACCGAAUAAACUACUUUCUUUACACAUC
rnacentral:lncRNA from 1 species